rnacentral:rRNA from 1 species
GGUGGCGGACGGGUGAGUAACGCGUGGGUAACCUGCCGUAUACAGGGGGAUAACAGUUAGAAAUGACUGCUAAUACCGCAUAAGCGCACAGUGAGGCAUCUCACGGUAGUGAAAAAACUCCGGUGGUAUACGAUGGACCCGCGUCUGAUUAGCCAGUUGGCAGGGUAACGGCCUACCAAAGCGACGAUCAGUAGCCGGCCUGAGAGGGUGAACGGCCACAUUGGGACUGAGACACGGCCCAAACUCCUACGGGAGGCAGCAGUGGGGAAUAUUGCACAAUGGGGGAAACCCUGAUGCAAGCGACGCCGCGUGAGUGAAGAAGCAUUUCGGUGCGUAAAGCUCUAUCAGCAGGGAAGAAAAUGACGGUACCUGACUAAGAAGCCCCGGCUAACUACGUGCCAGCAGCGGC